AAACUACUCCCUCUGUUUGGAAUUAUUUGUCUUGAAAAUGGAUGUAUCUAGAACUAAAAUACAUCUAGAUACAUCCAUUUCUGCGACAAGUAAUUCUGAACGGAGGGAGUAGAUC
rnacentral:pre_miRNA from 1 species